UAAUAGCUCACUGGUCGAGUCGGCCUGCGCGGAAGAUGUAACGGGGCUAAACCAUGCACCGAAGCUGCGGCAGCGACGCUUAUGCGUUGUUGGGUAGGGGAGCGUUCUGUAAGCCGUUGAAGGUGUGCUGUGAGGCAUGCUGGAGGUAUCAGAAGUGCGAAUGCUGACAUAAGUAACGAUAAAGCGGGUGAAAAGCCCGCUCGCCGGAAGACCAAGGGUUCCUGUCCAACGUUAAUCGGGGCAGGGUGAGUCGACCCCUAAGGCGAGGCCGAAAGGCGUAGUCGAUGGGAAACAGGUUAAUAUUCCUGUACUUGGUGUUACUGCGAAGGGGGGACGGAGAAGGCUAUG
rnacentral:rRNA from 1 species